rnacentral:rRNA from 1 species
UAUGUAAGUUAGUGGCGGACGGGUGAGUAACGCGUGGGUAACCUGCCUCGUACAGGGGGAUAACAGUUGGAAACGGCUGCUAAUACCGCAUAAGCGCACAGUACCGCAUGGUACGGUGUGAAAAACUCCGGUGGUAUGAGAUGGACCCGCGUCUGAUUAGGUAGUUGGUGGGGUAACGGCCUACCAAGCCGACGAUCAGUAGCCGACCUGAGAGGGUGACCGGCCACAUUGGGACUGGGACACGGCCCAA